AUUUAAAUAGUUUAAUUAAAAUAUAGAUUUGUGGGGUCUAGGAUGUAAUUUAUUACUUUAAAUU
rnacentral:tRNA from 1 species